AGUCAACAUGCCCAGGGGACGUGGAUAACCUCGGGAAACUGAGGAUAAGCCGCGAUAGGCCAAGAUUUCUGGAAUGGAUCAUGGCCCAAAUCUAUAUGGCCCCUGGAUUGGACUGCGGCCGAUCAGGCUGUUGGUGAGGUAAUGGCCCACCAAACCUGUAACCGGUACGGGCUCUGAGAGGAGGAGCCCGGAGAUGGGCACUUAGACAAGGGCCCAGGCCCUAUGGGGCGCAGCAGGCGCGAAACCUCUGCAAUAAGCGAAAGCUUGACAGGGUUACUCUGAGUGAUUUCCGCUAAGGAAGUCUUUUGGCACCUCUAAAAAUGGUGCAGAAUAAGGGGUGGGCAAGUCUGGUGUCAGCCGCCGCGGUAAUACCAGCACCCCGAGUGGUCGGGACGAUUAUUGGGCCUAAAGCAUCCGUAGCCGGUCCUGCAAGUCCUCCGUUAAAUCCACCCGCUCAACGGUUGGGCCGCGGGGGAUACUACAGGGCUAGGAGGCGGGAGAGGCAAGCGGUACUCGAUGGGUAGGGGUAAAAUCCACUGAUCCAUUGAAGACCACCAGUGGCGAAGGCGGCCUGCCAGAACGCGCUCGACGGUGAGGGAUGAAAGCUGGGGGAGCAAACCGGAUUAGAUACCCGGGUAGUCCCAGCUGUAAACGAUGCAGACUCGGUGAUGGGCUGGCUUCGUGCCAACCCGGUGCCGCAGGGAAGCCGUUAAGUCUGCCGCCUGGGGAGUACGGUCGCAAGACUGAAACUUAA
rnacentral:rRNA from 1 species